GCCGGGCGUGAUGGCUCACGCCUGUAAUCCUAGCACUUUGGGAGGCCGAGGUGGGUGGAUCGCCUGAGGUCAGGAGUUUGAGACCAGCCUGGCCAACAUGGCAAAACCCCAUCUCUA
rnacentral:SRP_RNA from 1 species